CCUGUGCAUGCCAUGUGAACGGAAAGUACUUCUGUGUGUGGUGCUUCUGGAGUCUCCAUCCAGGAGGAGAAGCUCCCAUCUGAGUCAAGGAAGACAUGACUGUCUGCCUCCCUCUCCUGCCUCUGGCCUCCCUAGGUUUCCUGUCUGGCAGAUGCAAAGUGGCCUCGUCACCCACAGGGAGACCCCAGUCUCUGGCUGUAUCCAGCCAAGCCCCUGAGCAUCUUCCUGUGCUGAUGUCCUCCUCCUCCACUGGGAUGGGGCCCAGGCACUGGCUCCCCAAACUGUUCCAAUUAAAGAAGGAGCCUGUUUUUGAUGUCAGCCACCUGGGAAAGGGAAGCAAGACCCAUCUGUCCUUCUAGCCCCCCUGUUACAUGGACAUUCUCAAGUUCAAACAGGGUCCAGCCUCCUUUCUGGUCUUCAAAGAUAUAUUUACUUAAGAUGAGGCUGCCCAAUGGCUGCUGUCCUUAUAAGAACACAGAAACACAGAAGAGGGUCAUGGGAAGACCAAGGGAAGGGCUAAAGUGGAGAUGAAAGUGCUGCAUACACGGGCCAGGGAUUGCUCAGAGCCACCAGAAGCUAGGAGAGGCAAAGAAGGAUUCCUCCCUGGAGGAAUGGCCCAGCUAAUACUUUGAUUCUGGAUGUGUGUGCCUAGUACUGGAAGGGGCCAGAGGACAUUGGAUAUCCUGGAGCUGGAGUUCCAGAUACUUGUGAACAACCAUAUGAGAGCUGGGAGUCAUUGCUGCCAACCACUAAGCGCCCAGUCUCAUAAAAUGGUAUUAUUUCUC
rnacentral:lncRNA from 1 species